rnacentral:rRNA from 1 species
GACGAACGCUGGCGGCGUGCCUAAUACAUGCAAGUCGAACGCAGUGGGGACGGGUGAGUAACACGUGGGUAACCUCCCAUCAGAGGGGAUAACACUUGGAAACAGGUGCUAAACCGAUACUGAUGGAUGAACACGCGGUGAAUUAGCUAGUGGGUGAGGUAACGGCUCACGAAGGCUAUGCUGCAUAGCCGACCUGAGAGGGGUAUCGGGCACACGGGGACUGAGACACGGACCAGAAUCCUAUGUGAGGCAGCAUGAGGGAAUCUUCGGCAAUGGACGAAAGUCUGACCGAGCAACGCCGCGUGAGUGAAGAAGGUUUUCGGAUCGUAAAACUCUGUUGUUAGAGAAGCGGUAUCUAACCAGAAAGCCACGGCUAACUACGUGCCAGCCGCCGCGGUAAUAC